rnacentral:rRNA from 1 species
GAUUAUAAUUUAAGGUCUGACCUGCCCGCUGAAAAUUUGAAGGGCCGUGGUAUUUUGACCGUGCUAAGGUAGCAUAAUCAUUAGUUUCUUAAUUAGAAACUGGAAUGAAGGGUUAGAUAAGAAAAUAACUGUCUCUAUUUAAUUUUAUUAGAAUUUUAUUUUUAAGUUAAAAAGCUUAAUUGUUAUUAAAAGACGAGAAGACCCUAUAGAGUUUUAUUAUAAAAUAAAGUUUUUUAUUUUAGAAUUUAUUUAUUAAAUUUUUUUUAUAAUUUAAUUGGGGUGAUUAAAAAAUUUAAUUAACUUUUUUUAUAUAAUAACAUUAAUUUAUGAAUUAUUGAUCCAAUUAUUUUGAUUAUAAGAUAAAAUUACCUUAGGGAUAACAGCGUAAUUUUUUUAGAAAGUUCAUAUUGAAAAAAAAGAUUGCGACCUCGAUGUUGGAUUAAAAUUAAUUUUUGGUGUAGAAGCUAAAAUAUUAG